rnacentral:rRNA from 1 species
CCCUUAGAUGCUCUGGGCCGCACGCGCGCUACAUUGAUGCAAGCAGUAGGCAUGCCUAGCGCGAGAGCGCCCGGGAAUCUGUUGUAGGCUGCAUCGUAACGGGGAUGGCCCAGUGGAAUCCUUGGUCCUGAACGGGGAAUGCCUAGUAGGCACGGGUCAGCAACCCGUGCCGAUUACGUCCCUGCCUUUUGUACACACCGCCCGUCGCUCCUACCGAUUGGAUGAUCCGGUGAGCUAUUCGGACUUUCGCAUUGUCGAUUUUCGGCUUUACGAGGGAAAGUCUCGCGAACCUUAUCAUCUAGAGGAAGGAGAAGUCGUAACA